GACGAACGCUGGCGGCGGGCUUAACACAUGCAAGUCGAACGGAAAGGCAGUGCUUGUGUGGGGUGCUCGAGGGGCGAAGGGGUGAGUAACAGGUGAAUAACCUGCCCUUGACUUUGGGAUAACUUCAGGAAACGGGGGCUAAUAUCGGAUCGGAGCUGCUGCAGGAUGGUGGGGGUUGGAAAGUUUCGGCGGUUGGGGAUGGACUCGCGGCUGAUCAGCUUGUUGGUGGGGUAGUGGAAUACCAAGGCUGUGACGGGUAGCCGGCCUGGGAGGGUGGCCGGCCACAUUGGGACUGCGAUACGGCCCAGACUCGUAUGGGAGGCAGCGGGGGGGAGUAUUGCACAGUGGGCGGAAGCCUGAUGCAGCAACGCCGGGUGCGGGAAGACGGCCUUCUGGUUGUAAACCGCUUUCGCCUGUGACGAAGCGUUAGUGACGGUAAUGGGAAAAGAAGCACCGGCUAACUACGUG
rnacentral:rRNA from 1 species